AAAGAAUGAUAUUUUCAUACAGCUUGACAACCAAUUAACAGUUUCACUUCCUCUUCCUCCACAUGGGUAGGCAUGAAAUGUAGGUGUCAGAUCGGAGGAGUUUCUUCGGAGCUCUCUGUAACAUGACCAUGGGCUAAUUGACCUUGCAAGCAAGAGCCUUUGACUAAAUGGUGACAUAGCUGUGGAAAUCUUCUCAAGUUGCUACCAAGAAUCUGCAGGUUAAGCAGGCUUGGAAUACUAAUGGGAGGAGAAAGAGGAAAAAAAAGCUUGUCAGCUUGAUUCAGACAGUGUUGCAAAACUGUAGUCCCAAACAUAGACUGUUGCUCUUAUUGGUCUUCCCACCACAAAGAAACUCAAGAGACCUAUUUCCUCUUCCACUUCUGUUUCUGCCCACCUAGUGUACUUUGCAAGUUCCUUUUUAAUGAUAGAGGUUUAUAAAGAGACACUCAGUCUUAAAAGCUUUUUUUUUAAUAGACCGAAAUUUGAGAAGAUAACGUAUAGUCACUAAUGAGUCCUUGAAAAAAUGUCUCUUCAAAGAUCCAAUCUUUCUUCUGAAUCAGAUCUCCAGAUAAUAUUUGUAAUUCAGCUGAUGAAUUGGUGAGGCCUCACCUGGAGUCCUGUGUCCAGUUCUGGG
rnacentral:lncRNA from 1 species